AAUCUCUCUUGUCAUUGGAUUUUUUCAAUCUAAGCGACGAGGUCCAUGGGCCUGAAGUCUAGCGACUCCUUGCCUUAAAUGUAUGAGCUGAUUGCCAGCCGGGAUGUUAAGUUUUCCACUCUCCCGCGGAAGAAGGCAGUUGCUUCGAACCCAGUCUUUGUGCGCAAAGACUAUUGUAU
rnacentral:misc_RNA from 1 species